UACAGAGGUCUCAAGCGUUGUUCGGAUUCAUUGGGCGUAAAGGGUGCGUAGGUGGCGGGGUAAGUCAGGUGUGAAAUCUCGAGGCUCAACCUCGAAACUGCAUUCGAUACUGCCGUGCUUGAGGACUGGAGAGGAGACUGGAAUUUACGGUGUAGCGGUGAAAUGCGUAGAUAUCGUAAGGAAGACCAGUGGCGAAGGCGGGUCUCUGGACAGUUCCUGACGCUGAGGCACGAAGGUCAGGGGAGCAAACGGG
rnacentral:rRNA from 1 species